UACGGAGGGGGCGAGUGUUGUUCGGAAUUACUGGGCGUAAAGGGCGCGCAGGCGGCCUGGCAAGUCGAGUGUGAAAUCCCUUGGCUUAACUGAGGAGUGGCGCUCGAAACUACCUCGCUGGAGGGCGGGAGAGGGAAGUGGAACUCUCGGUGUAGGGGUGAAAUCUGUAGAUAUCGAGAGGAACACCGGUGGCGAAGGCGGCUUCCUGGCCCGUACCUGACGCUGAGGCGCGAAAGCGUGGGGAGCAAACAGG
rnacentral:rRNA from 1 species